rnacentral:rRNA from 1 species
UGGGGAAUAUUGCACAAUGGGCGCAAGCCUGAUGCAGCAACGCCGCGUGAAGGACGAAGGCCCUCGGGUCGUAAACUUCUAUCGACGGGGACGAACACAAUGACGGUACCCGAGUAAGAAGCCCCGGCUAACUACGUGCCAGCAGCCGCGGUAAUACGUAGGGGGCAAGCGUUAUCCGGAUUUACUGGGCGUAAAGGGUGAGUAGGCGGCACGGUAAGUCAUAUGUGAAAGCCCUAAGCUCAACUUAGGGACUGCAUAAGAAACUGCCGCGCUUGAGUGCAGGAGAGGUAAGCGGAAUUCCUAGUGUAGCGGUGAAAUGCGUAGAUAUUAGGAAGAACACCGGUGGCGAAGGCGGCUUACUGGACUGUAACUGACGCUGAGUCACGAAAGCGUGGGGAGCAAACA